rnacentral:rRNA from 1 species
AUUGAACGCUGGCGGCAGGCCUAACACAUGCAAGUCGAACGAGCGGCGGACGGGUGAGUAAUGUAUGGGGACUGCCCGAUAGAGGGGGAUAACUACUUGAAACGGUGGCUAAUACCGCAUACUAUGGGGUAACCCAUAUGGGGUUCGCUCGUAGGUUAGGUAAUGGCUCACCGAGGCGACGAGCCCUAGCUGGUCUGAGAGGAUGAUCAGCCAAACGGUGACUGAGAGACGGCCCAGACUCCUACGGAGGCAGCAGUGGGGAAUAUUGCACAAUGGGCGCAAGCCUGAUGCAGCCAUGCCGCGUGUAUGAAGCAGGCCCUAGGGUUGUAAAGUACUUUCAGUCGGUAGGCGUUACCGACAGAAGAAGCACCGGCUAACUCCGUGCCAGCCGCCGCGGUAAUUC